ACACAUGCAAGUCGAACGAGAUUGCUUUGACGGAACCUUCGGGGGAAGAUGAAGCAUGAAAGUGGCGGAUGGGUGAGUAACGCGUAAGAAACCUGCCUUUCACACCGGGAUAGCAGCUGGAAACGGCUAUUAAUACCGGAUGAUACUUUUCUGACGCAUGUUAGGAAGGUCAAAGAAUUUCGGUGAAAGAUGGUCUUGCGUCUGACUAGCUCGUUGGUGGGGUAACGGCCUACCAAGGCGACGAUCAGUAGCCGGCCUGAGAGGGUGUACGGCCACAUUGGGACUGAGACACGGCCCAAACUCCUACGGGAGGCAGCAGUGGGGAAUUUUGCACAAUGGAGGAAACUCUGAUGCAGCGACGCCGCGUGAACGAAGAAGGUUUUCGGAUCGUAAAGUUCUGUCCUGGGUGAAGAUAAUGACGGUAACUCAGGAGGAAGCCCCGGCUAACUACGUGCCAGCAGCCGCGGUAAUACGUAGGGGGCGAGCGUUGUUCGGAAUUAUUGGGCGUAAAGGGUACGUAGGCGGCUCGUUAAGUUUGGCGUUAAAUUCCGGGGCUCAACCCCGGCAAGCGUUGAAAACUGGCGAGCUUGAGUAGUAGAGGGGACAGUGGAAUUCCUAGUGUAGCGGUGAAAUGCGUAGAGAUUAGGAAGAAUACCGGUGGCGAAGGCGACUGUCUGGAUACAUACUGACGCUGAGGUACGAAAGCGUGGGGAGCAAACAGGAUUAGAUACCCUGGUAGUCCACGCCCUAAACGAUGAGUGCUAGGUGUCGGG
rnacentral:rRNA from 1 species